UCUAUUUUAUCGUCAGCAGCGUUGCCAAAUCGGACCGUUUCACUGAAUCAUCAUGCAUUUACAUUGAUAUAAAUGUAGAUAAUUUUGGGUUAACCACGCGUAAACACCUAAUUGAUAAAAUAAUGUUUUUUGGUCUUUCAGAAGCAUUCCCUUACCUGCAAUCUCUAUUUCCGCUUAUAAAUUUGAUUUCAGUUGUAUUCAUAUCUGUUUUAAUGAUAAAAAUUAUGAAAACCGCAUUAUUUUCCUGAAUCGUGAGGAAAAAAUAUUUUAUUACCUCUGGAGCGUACAAAAGCCAGUCACGGUGUACACCUGUUCAUUUGAAAUGUUAGAUACUGGCGUUCAUUAGAUAGUUUUAGAUCAGAUAACAGCGAAACUACAGGAUAACAUUCCCUGGUGCUACUGUAUGCUGAUGUUGCAGUGUUCGUGGGAAAUAGUGAAGGCGACUUAGAACAAAAACUGGAACAGUAGAGACCAGCUCUUGAGGAAGAAAUUUUAUAACUUGGUAGGACCCCGCAUAGGGAUAAUGGCUAAGAUAAUGAUGAUGAAAGCUUGAAGCGCAUAAUUUAGAAAUAAAGUUUUUAACUUUGCUAGUUGAGUUUACCAGAAUUAUAUUUAAACUUUAUGUAUUUAAUUAGAGGUUUAUAAAUAUACCGACCAUGUUUUAAUUUUAAA